rnacentral:rRNA from 1 species
GGGCCUGCUCGGUGAUUUAUAUUUAACAGCUGCGGUAUUAUAACUGUACUAAGGUAGCAUAAUAAUUUGCUCUAUAAAUUGGGGCUAGAAUGAAUGGUUUGACGAAAAUUAAUCUGUCUCUGUUUUAUUUAUUAGAAAUUAAUUUUUAUAGUGAAAAAGCUUAAAUAGUUUAAAGGGACGAAAAGACCCUAUUGAGCUUAUAUUAAUAUUUAUAGUAUUAUAAGUAUAUAUAUAUAUAUAUAUAUAUAUAUAUAUAUAUAUAUAUUAUGAGUAUAUGUUAUAAAUAUAUUAAUUUUGGUUGGGGUGAUCAAGGAAUAAAGUAUUGAAAAAUUUUUAUAUAACUUCCUUAAUUUUUAAUUUUAUUGAUUAAUAAACCAAUAUUUUUGCUUAUAUGAUAAGUUACCAUAGGGAUAACAGCGUAAUUUUUUUUGAGAGUUCAUAUUG